rnacentral:rRNA from 1 species
CCUACGGGAGGCAGCAGUGAGGAAUAUUGGUCAAUGGACGAGAGUCUGAACCAGCCAAGUAGCGUGAAGGAUGACUGCCCUAUGGGUUGUAAACUUCUUUUAUAUGGGAAUAAAACAGGGUAUGCAUACCCUCUUGUAUGUACCAUAUGAAUAAGGAUCGGCUAACUCCGUGCCAGCAGCCGCGGUAAUACGGAGGAUCCGAGUGUUAUCCGGAUUUAUUGGGUUUAAAGGGAGCGUAGGUGGAUUGUUAAGUCAGUUGUGAAAGUUUGCGGCUUAACCGUAAAAUUGCAGUUGAAACUGGCAGUCGUGAGUACAGUAGAGGUGGGCGGAAUUCGUGGUGUAGCGGUGAAAUGCUUAGAUAUCACGAAGAACUCCGAUUGCGAAGGCAGCUCACUGGACUGCAACUGACACUGAUGCUCGAAAGUGUGGGUAUCAAACAGGAUUAGAUACCCGUGUAGUC